GACGAACGCUGGCGGCGUGCUUAACACAUGCAAGUCGAACGGAAAGGCCUCUUUCGGGGGGUUCUCGCGUGGCGAACGGGUGAGUAACACGUGAGUAACCUGCCCUUGACUUUGGGAUAACUUCCGGAAACUGGGGCUAAUACCGGAUAGGAGCUCCUUCUACAUGGUGGGGGUUGGAAAGUUUCGGCGGUUGGGGGUGGACUCGCGGGUUAUCAGCUUGUUGGUGGGGUAGUGGCUUACCAAGGCUUUGACGGGUAACCGGCCUGGGAGGGUGACCGGCCACAUUGGGACUGAGAUACGGCCCAGACUCCUACGGGAGGCAGCAGGGGGGAAUAUUGCACAAUGGGUGGAAGCCGGAUGCAGCAACGCCGGGUGCGGGAUGACGGCCUUCGGGUUGUAAACCGCUUUCGCUCAUGACGAAGCUUUGUGUGACGGUAGUGGGUAAAGAAGCACCGGCUAACUACGUG
rnacentral:rRNA from 1 species